GCCAGUGUGGUCUAGUGGUUUGAGCAUUGGACUAGGCCACUGAGAGACCAGGGUUCGAAUCCCUGCUCAGCCA